rnacentral:rRNA from 1 species
UACGUAGGGUGCGAGCGUUAAUCGGAAUUACUGGGCGUAAAGCGUGCGCAGGCGGUUCGUUGUGUCGGCGGUGAAAGCCCCGGGCUCAACCUGGGAAUGGCCGUUGAAACUGGCGAACUGGAGUGUGGCAGAGGGGGGUGGAAUUCCGCGUGUAGCAGUGAAAUGCGUAGAGAUGCGGAGGAACACCGAUGGCGAAGGCCAGCCCCCUGGGCUAACACUGACGCUCAGGCACGAAAGCGUGGGGAGCAAACAGG